UACCAGAAUACUAACAGCAAUUACCUCGGAGAAGUGGGAAUACAGGUGAUUCUAACAUCUUCCUUUUGAUUCUUUGAAAUCCUAUUUUUCUUUUAAAAAACUUUGUUCCCAUUAUUAUAAAAUAUUAAGGUUAUUUUUAUUAUAGACAAAAAACAUAUAAGAAGGAGAGAUGAUGCUAGAAAAGCACCGGCUCACUCUUGGCAGCACUUGCAUAAACUGAGCCAGACCAGCAUUUUUGCUUCUUGAGGAUAAAUGUCCUUCCCUAUCUUUUUUUCUUGUUUACCACUGGAAUGCCAGUGCAUGAAACAGUGGCUGGCACUUUGAAAGUGCUCAGUAGCUCUUUGUGGAAUCAAUGAGUUACAAUUAUAGUCCUAUCAAGGUAAAUGAUGCGUCUUUUGGUAGAGUUUACACGCUUCUUGAGCCCUGGGAGGAAAGUCUUCUUUAAUGAAUGGUGUGACUGAUCUUGCUACCCUAUAGAGUGGUUGUCCCUCUUUGAAAAGACCUGCCAUGUGAGUGGAUCAUCACAUGGGUUUAAAUGGGCACAGGAUCACACAGGCGGGCCAGGUGCAAAAUGAAGCAUGUGGGCAUGAAAACAGGAGCGCCUGGUUUCACUUAAGUCCGUGGACACUACCCCUAGGGUGGAGCCCUGGCCUGGGACCCUGUCCUUCUCUAACCGGCACUUUCCUGCCCCCCUCUCAUAUCACAUUCACAUAGAGGUCUUCUUAUGUUCACAUGUUUCCUUUAUCCUUGGAUAAAUAUGUGGGAAUGGAAUUGCUUCCACAAAUACUAAAUGUAUUAUAUUUUUCAAUUCAGAAAGAUGAAAAAAAGGGGAGAGGGAGAACCUAAACCAAGAACAUUAUCCCCUCAACUAAGGCAGAAGACACAGGCAAAAGUGACCAUUCCCUAUUUUUAUCAACCGCUAUUUUAAAUCAAUAUUAAAGAAACUAAUCAAAU
rnacentral:lncRNA from 10 species